CGGUUUGGAAAACAGACCUUAUGAAAGCAGUUUUAGUAAAGCAGUCCUCAGUUCAAGUGUUAUCCCAGAUACUCUUCUUCGUGAGCCUCCUCCUAAGCGCCUAAUAAGUAAUUCUCUGCAUGACAGGCCAUCUUCGCCGCACUGUGUGGCUCAUUAAUUAAGGAAGUAUCUAUGUCUACCAAAAUGACUGGUUUAGUAAAAUGGUUUAAUUCAGAUAAAGGUUUUGGCUUUAUUACGCCGAAUGACGGCAGCAAAGAUGUAUUCGUACACUUUUCUGCUAUUCAGAGCGAUAGCUACAAAACCCUGGAUGAAGGCCAACAGGUCUCCUUCACCAUCGAAAACGGCGCAAAAGGCCCGGCAGCGGCAAACGUCACUGCACUGUAAUACGCGCUGAUUAUCGCA
rnacentral:sRNA from 1 species